AUAAAUCAUGAAACUCCAAGGACUCCUGCUACCGCUGGUUCGCCAGAGCGCAGUUUGGCUCCUUGGUGCCCUUCAUUUUUUACAUCCCAUUCUGUGUAUAUGACUUCUGUUGCUUCCCGUGGAUGCGGGACAACAAGGGGUAACUCCCUUGUGGUUAACCAUCCUGCGGGAAGGAGAACAUAAACUCUGGUUUUUGUAGUAUUAGUCUGAGUGAUAAUCACAAUCAAACAAGUUA
rnacentral:misc_RNA from 1 species